rnacentral:rRNA from 1 species
AUUGGACGCUGGCGGCAUGCCUUACACAUGCAAGUCGAACGGUAACAGGUCUUCGGAUGCUGACGAGUGGCGAACGGGUGAGUAAUACAUCGGAACGUGCCCGAUCGUGGGGGAUAACGGAGCGAAAGCUUUGCUAAUACCGCAUACGAUCUACGGAUGAAAGCAGGGGACCGCAAGGCCUUGCGCGGACGGAGCGGCCGAUGGCAGAUUAGGUAGUUGGUGGGAUAAAAGCUUACCAAGCCGACGAUCUGUAGCUGGUCUGAGAGGACGACCAGCCACACUGGGACUGAGACACGGCCCAGACUCCUACGGGAGGCAGCAGUGGGGAAUUUUGGACAAUGGGCGAAAGCCUGAUCCAGCCAUGCCGCGUGCAGGAUGAAGGCCUUCGGGUUGUAAACUGCUUUUGUACGGAACGAAAAGACUCUUUCUAAUAAAGAGGGUCCAUGACGGUACCGUAAGAAUAAGCACCGGCUAACUACGUG